GAGUUUGAUCCUGGCUCAGAGCGAACGCUGGCGGCGUGCUUAACACAUGCAAGUCGUGCGGGAAAGCGGCCUUCGGGCCGUGAGUAGAGCGGCGCACGGGUGCGUAAGACGCGGGUGACCUAUCCCCGAGGCGGGGAUAACCCUUCGAAAGAGGGGCUAAUACCGGAUGCGCCCCCGGGCAGAGAUGCCCGGGGGCAAAGGGUGCUGCUUGAUAGCGGCAUCCCCUCGUGGCGGGGCCCGCGGCCUAUCAGCUUGUUGGUGCGGUAAUGGCGCACCAAGGCGAAGACGGGUAGCUGGUCUGAGAGGAUGGCCAGCCACACGGGGACUGAGACACGGCCCCGACUCCUACGGGAGGCAGCAGUGGGGAAUAUUGGGCAAUGGGCGCAAGCCUGACCCAGCGACGCCGCGUGGGUGAUGAAGG
rnacentral:rRNA from 1 species